rnacentral:tRNA from 1 species
GGUUUUAUAUUCAAAAUAUUAUGAUUUCAGAUUGCAAAUCUGAAGGUAUCUUUAAGAUUAAAACCU